UGUCACACCCCAAUUCUUGAAAGAAUAAAUAUAAUCGAGGUGUGAAUAAUUCAUAGAAAUAAACAAGGGAAAAACCUUGUUAAAACCCGAAAUAGGAUAGAAAGUCGGGCUAUGCCCCUUUGGAUCACAAGUUUUGUUUCAUGCUUCUGACAACUGACAUUCAUUAGCAUAAAUUUAGUAGUGAAGAGUCUAAACUCGGUCAAAUAUAUCAUUUGAAAUUUAACAUGAAGAUUUUAAGUUGGGAAAAUAAAAGACUGAUAUGAGUAAUUGCUACAGCGGAAUUCUAAAAUAGGAAUUUAACUCUAGCCUCAGCUCCGUCCCGUCAGCACCGGCCAGCCAACCUGAAAACAUUUGAAAGUAUUUUUGGGCUAAGUACUAAUGUACUUAGUGGGCAUGCAUUUUCUGAAACAUUUCAUAUUUUAAUAAAGACAGUUUAUCCAAUCAUACUUGACAUGACUUAAAAGGUUUUAAAUUGAAAGAACUUCUAAGCAUGUUAAAAUAAUUUUCUUUCAUUUGUGCGCACAUGUCACACUCCCUUUCUGUUACUCGCUGUGAUCCCGGACCUUUUAGCCACCGACGGAUCUCUGUCUCCCGCUUACUUGAACUGAGGGCGUAACCCAGACAAGUUUACUUUGACCUCGGGACGCUACCCAGGCAGGCCUGAUAUUUCUCAUGCUCCGGAACACAUCCAGCCGAGCACCCUUAUAACGCCUCUGGUUAGAGCCCGAUGGAGAUCAACCCACCGAGUCAACUAACAAGUGUACACAAUUCUCAAACAACGUAUUAGGUCAUAAGAGAACCUCAAUUGAUUAACUGCGCGAGCCUUAAACAGAGCAGAGUGCACAUAAACAUUUUAUUGGAUAAACAGUUUUCAUUACAUUAAAUAAACAAUUUGCAUUUCAUUGAAACAUUUAGAGCUUAAUAACUCAAUCAUACUUUGUACAUUUGGAAAGUAAGCCCCACCUGUAUAGGCAAAAGCCUGAAGUAUAACAUAAACCUGAAUCGGAAAAGCAGCGCUAAUCCUCCUGAUCACAAAGCCUACAAGAAAUCUAUUCUCAAUAGGUCUCCUGAAAUCUAAUCUUAAGUCAUGGUGUAGUGCUUAACAUUCUAUGAUUCACUUAGCCGGGUUUUCAAAAUUUAAUAAAUAAAUAAUUGAAAACAUUUCUCUUGAGUUAAGAACACCAACAAUAUUCUUACUCAUCUUUCUUUAAUAAUUGGAAUUAUAAAUAAAACCAAUUAAAUCAUAAAUACUUUUAUUGCAAAAUAUAAUGCAAUUUCAUGUCAUGCUUAGCAUAUAAUAAGUAAUAACUUAAAAUAUGCACAUAAUAAUAAUAUGAUAUUAUUAUGCAAAUUAAAAUAAUUAAUCAAACUUAAUAAGUACUAAUUAAUUAAAAUAGUGCAGUCCAAUUAAAUGGAGAAGCUGCACAGCCCAAUGAAUAAAUUAAUAAAGGCCCAACAGAUUUAAAAAAUUAAAAGCCCAACUGAAACAAAAAUAAAUAAAAUCUCGGCCCAUAACUCGNUAAAUAAAUAGUCCCAAACUCGUUACGCACAUAUACUAAAUCUUUCAUGAAACAUCCUUUAAAAUAAACUUUGAUACAUAGAAAAUAAUUCAACAACUUGAGCUCUUAAGGGGUUGUUUUGCAACAGACACCAAAUCUGCCUCGGAUCUCCAAAUGAGGCUCCAAAAGACAUUCUGGAAACUAGACAUUUCAAGGAUCAUUCUCCAAUUUGAAUCGAAUGAAAAAAAGUUCAAACGAGCAAGAUAUGCCCUCUCAAAGAUGGGUAUUUAACAAACAAAAAUCUGAAAAUUUCAGAUUUCCAGAUUACAACCAAGUCAGUGGGCUUUCUUUAAAAAUUCAUAUCUCCCUUUACAAAACUCCACUGGGAACCCCAAGGGUCAAUCUGGAAACUAGGGAGAGAUCAUAACACUCUCCAGUUGGAUUUACUCCAAGAAAAUUCAUGGUUUAGAAGAUAUGACUGUCUAAAGUUCAGUGCACAAAAAGAGUUCAAGUUUGGCAGAUUCAGAACAUAAAUCGGAAAAACCACUUUAGGCUUCACCAAAAAUUCUAAAACUGAACAAGUAAGUUCCCAACAUGUCAGUGAAUAUUCAGUAGAAAGAUAGGCUUGAGAAUGAAAGAUUUAAGUCGGCCUUUGAGACCUCAAAGUCGUAGGUUUGUAAAACCUACUGGAUGGUACAAGGAAUAAGAACUAGAUUUCAAGAAUUUAUACCGGUUGUUUCCCUUACUAAAAAUGGUGAGGCUGAUGCCAAAAGAAAGAUACGGGAGUAUAGAGUGACAUACUCAAGUUUCAAAGGUUUUCAACGAUUGAAACUUGACUUAUGGCCUCCCAAAGAUGGUUUACCAAAAAUGUAUUCCAGAUGGGCAGUGAUGUUUAAAAAUUCAUAAAUAAAACAUGAGAGCUCUAAAUAUUCUUAAAUUUUACCAUAGUAUAGAAAACAUAUUAAACACAAUACACAAUUAAUUUGGGAAUUUUUGGGAACCGUUUGGAUGGCUGGAAUCGCCUUGCAAUAUACUGCCGGAGCAGUGUGCUUAUGGCAGAUUCGCUGCCUUACCUCAUGCACGGUUUUUCACCCAAUAAACUCUACCAAAAUAAUCAUCCAAAAUCAUAAAACAUAUCCUCACAUAAUAUAGCACACAUAUGUGUAAAAAUCCAUGGUCUUAAAGCAUUUUAUGUUGAGAAAAACCAAAGAAAACUCACCCUCGAAGCACAAUCUUCACUCUAACUUACGCCCUAGGUUUCCCACGCUCUCCCUUACUUUGAUACUACUCUUGGAGCUUAAAGGCUUCUAUGAAUUCCAACUUUGGUUGAAUGUUGCUGUUGUUUCUUUUGUCUAAGAUUGAGCUUUUUCUUGAGAGAGAUAAUUUGGUAAACUCGGGAAUGAAUCGUGUGUGAGAUGAAGUGGAAAGCAUGAUUGAAAUUAUUAGUGAUGAAUGAGGUGUGCUUGAGGUAUAGUGCAGGGGAUUGAUGGUGAUGUUGGUGGUGGAAGUGGGUGGUGAUGUUGAUGGAGUAAGUGGGUGUAGGAGUAGGUGGGAGUAAUAAAAUAAAAAUCUUUCGGGUUGUAGUAUGAAAACGGUAAUAAUCGUUCAGUGUUUGCUUAAAUAAAUAGCUCAUGAAAAUGCUUGAAUGCUAAAUUAAAUAAAUAUGCGACGC
rnacentral:lncRNA from 1 species